UACAGAGGUCUCAAGCGUUGUUCGGAUUCAUUGGGCGUAAAGGGUGCGUAGGCGGCGCGGUAAGUCGGGUGUGAAAUCUUGGAGCUUAACGCCGAAACUGCAUUCGAUACUGCCGUGCUUGAGGACUGGAGAGGAGACUGGAAUUUACGGUGUAGCGGUGAAAUGCGUAGAUAUCGUAAGGAAGACCAGUGGCGAAGGCGGGUCUCUGGACAGUUCCUGACGCUGAGGCACGAAGGCCAGGGGAGCAAACGGG
rnacentral:rRNA from 1 species